CACAAUGGGCGCAAGCCUGAUGCAGCCAUGCCGCGUGUAUGAAGAAGGCCUUCGGGUUGUAAAGUACUUUCAGCAGUGAGGAAGGUGGAUAUGUUAAUAGCAUAUUCAUUUGACGUUAGCUGCAGAAGAAGCACCGGCUAACUCCGUGCCAGCAGCCGCGGUAAUACGGAGGGUGCGAGCGUUAAUCGGAAUUACUGGGCGUAAAGCGCAUGCAGGUGGUUUGUUAAGUCAGAUGUGAAAGCCCGGGGCUCAACCUCGGAAUUGCAUUUGAAACUGGCAAACUAGAGUACUGUAGAGGGGGUAGAAUUUCAGGUGUAGCGGUGAAAUGCGUAGAGAUCUGAAGGAAUACCGGUGGCGAAGGCGGCCCCCUGGACAGAUACUGACACUCAGAUGCGAAAGCGUGGGGAGCAAACAGGAUUAGAUACCCUGGUAG
rnacentral:rRNA from 1 species